rnacentral:rRNA from 1 species
AGCAGCCGCGGUAAUUCCAGCUCCAAUAGCGUAUAUUAAAGUUGCUGCAGUUAAAAAGCUCGUAGUUGAAUUUCGGGACCAAUAUGUCGGUCGUGCCUCGGUACGUACUGGCAUCGUUGGUUUCUCCCUUCUGACGAACCAUGAUGUCAUUUAUUUGGUGUCGUGGGGAAUCAGGACUGUUACUUUGAAAAAAUUAGAGUGUUUAAAGCAGGCUCACGCUUGAAUACAUUAGCAUGGAAUAAUGAAAUAGGACGUUUGAUUCUAUUUUGUUGGUUUCUAGGAUCGACGUAAUGAUUAAUAGGGAUAGUUGGGGGCAUUAGUAUUCAAUUGUCAGAGGUGAAAUUCUUGGAUUUAUUGAAGACUAACUACUGCGAAAGCAUUUGCCAAGGAUGUUUUCAUUAAUCAAGAACGAAAGUUAGAGGUUCGAAGGCGAUCAGAUACCGCCUAGUGCUAACCAUAAACGAUGCCAACCAGUAAUAAGCCUGAGUUCCUUAAAUGAACUCGGCUUGGGACUUACC